rnacentral:tRNA from 94 species
GGCGGAGUAGCUCAGGUGGUUAGAGCAGCGGAAUCAUAAUCCGCGUGUCGGGGGUUCAAGUCCCUCCUCCGCUACCA